GACGAACGCUGGCGGCGUGCCUAAUACAUGCAAGUCGAACGCAGUGGGGACGGGUGAGUAACACGUGGGUAACCUCCCAUCAGAGGGGAUAACACUUGGAAACAGGUGCUAAACCGAUACUGAUGGAUGAACCCGCGGGGCAUUAGCUAGUUGGUGGGGUAACGGCUCACCAAGGCCACGAUGCAUAGCCGGCCUGAGAGGAUGAUCGGCCACACUGGGACUGAGACACGGCCCAGACUCCUACGGGAGGCAGCAGUAGGGAAUAUUCGGCAAUGGGCGAAAGCCUGACAGAGCCACGCCGCGUGUGUGAAGAAGGUUUUCGGAUUGUAAAACUCUGUUGUUAGAGAAGCGUUAUCUAAAGAGAAAGCCACGGCUAACUACGUGCCAGCAGCCGCGGUAAUUC
rnacentral:rRNA from 1 species